rnacentral:tRNA from 1 species
GGCGCGGUGGUGGCGUUCGAGACCGCGCUGCGGUUCGAGGCCGCCGGGCAUCCGGUGCGGGCCCUGGUCGCCUCG